GAUCCUGGCUCAGGAUGAACGCUGGCGGCGCGCCUAACACAUGCAAGUCGAACGGCACCCCUCUCCGGAGGGAAGCGAGUGGCGAACGGCUGAGUAACACGUGGAGAACCUGCCCCCUCCCCCGGGAUAGCCGCCCGAAAGGACGGGUAAUACCGGAUACCCCGGGGUGCCGCAUGGCACCCCGGCUAAAGCCCCGACGGGAGGGGAUGGCUCCGCGGCCCAUCAGGUAGACGGCGGGGUGGCGGCCCACCGUGCCGACAACGGGUAGCCGGGUUGAGAGACCG
rnacentral:rRNA from 1 species